UGAGGCGCGUCCAACGAAGAACGCUGCAGAAUUGGGGCAGACGCAAAGGGGACAUCCAAGGGGGAAGCGAUCAGGACACGACUGGAGCGGACCAGGCAGAUAGGGCAGAUCAGGGCUGGACAAGAAACGAAGAUUAGCACACUGGGGGGGCACAACUCAAGAAGCACAGUUCAGCGCUGUCCGUAGAGGUCCUGGCUGCCUGGGGGCUGACCCUUCUGCAGUGGAAAAGCAAAGUGAGAUGGAGCCGCGCUGUAACUAGUCUGUCAUGAUGGUGUGGCUCAGGUCCUGGGCUGGGGCUGGAGUUUCUGAAAAGGGGCGUGUUACUAUCCUCGUGAGGGUGACUCACACUUCACCGUAGAGGUGCUGUUUCAUCAUACCCACCUUGUACUUAUCGAAAGUGAGAAAAUUACGUACACCCGGGAUUUAUAGAAUUCCCAAGGAACCUCGCGUCAGGUGCCUGCAGUGUUCAAGCCUGUGAUCCUCCCAUCACUGCCCACAGAGGCCAUUAUUUAAUAUGAAUAACAUACGAGAAGGAGUGCAGUUGUACGUCAGUAUAUCACGACUGUGAUUUGUUUGCUGCAGGCUUUCAUACAACAGUCCAUCGAGAAGGAUUUAUAAUGUCACAGUAAUAAGCCACAACAGAUAACACUUUGCUUAAAUAUUUAUGGGCCUCUGCAAAAACAAUAGUCCCCCCAGCCAACUGUUGAUUGCAGUCAUCUGGGUACCACUGGUCAUCAACAUUACAUCUCCCUUCCACCCCCUGCUGCUGGACCUUGGCUUAGGUGUUAUCUCCCCAGCUCUUCUCCUUUUCCUCAACCAGAGCCAAAAGCUGCCCCUCUCAGUCUCUUUAGCCAGGUCUUUCAGGGCCUUCUGCAAGCCUGCUCCAGUUACUCCCAUUUCCCUCAGUAGGCCUUCUGCAAGCCUUGUUAGGGUUAUCUUCUAAAGAUACGCUGGAAACUAACCAGUCUCUGAACACAGAACAACACGGACAGCUGUGAUGACUUUUUCUUGCUGCAAGGGAAGUCCGGUCCUGACUUCGAGGUGUCAACUCAGCCAACUUCGAAAGAGGAACUCCCCUCGCAGUAUCUUUUAUUGAGGUACACAAACAGGAUAUGCAAAUAAAAUUCUGCAUUGUUUAUCCCCAUGUAUGGGGUGGAAAUAUUCAAGCGACAGUUCUUAAGAAGUGUUAUUGCUAAAUUAAGAUCAAGCUGCUGCAGGGUGUUAUUUCUAAGAAAUGGAAUCUUGCAAAAUGACAAUAAAAAAGUACAUAUUUCUCUAACACUCCUUAGACGAUAGUUCCCCAUCCAGCCUCCUGGCAUUAAGCAAUGACAUCUGAGGACUUCAGCCUCUUCCUUUGAAAGGAAGCUUCUAUUCCCUUCACCCAUGGCACAGAUAGCUCAAUGAGGAACACGCUAUUGGACCACAUCACUUAUGUCAGGGCAGAGGCUUGUACUGGUAAUUUCAUUGGGGAACAGGAGUUGCCUGCCGACAUCAACUCUCACUCUCCAGUCCUGGGUGGAGGGAGCCCUUGGAGAACGCUGGGAUGGAACUGGGAUGCCCCCAUCUUUUCUGACAAACUGAAUGGCGUGACUUGCGAUUUCACAGCCUGCCAAGAUGUGCUGGGGCCUGCUGCAGAGAGGGCAGCAUUCCUCUAGACCGAACCACCGGUGUAGCUUCAGUGGACAGGGGAAUGUAUCAAAUGAGAAGGAAAUUGAGUUUUGCGUGAGGGAUCUUCCACAGCUCUGCCAUGCUGAUGUUCCUGCCAAAGACGCGUCCCCACAUUGUCCAGGCUGUUUGUCGUUCUUAUGAUACAGCCUUGAUCAUAAAGCACUUGUCUUCCAUCCUCUUCACCUCAGACGCCACCAGAUGCUUUUUCUCUUUUCUGUUGCCCCUGACCAGCCCAGCAGAGCUUCUUCCCACCCACGAUAUACAGCCUGCUAAUCGCCAUUUCCGAUUCUGCCUGGGCUUUCCACUUAUGCCCAGUGCAGACCUUUAUGAUGAACUGGAUAAACUGUCACUCUGGCUUCACUAUCCCUUGUGGAACUGGAGUGCUGACAUUUCAGGGACUCCCCAAGCCUGCAUUCCCACUUGCCUCUCCCUCCUACUGAUGCUGCCAUAGCCAUAUCUGCCGGAGCUUGCACAUUGCACUUCAUAUUGCACUCAUCUAGCUGUUAGCACUGCCGAUAGCCUCCUCUACUUUAACUAAUUGUACGUUUUAUUUCCCAUACUCCUCCUGGGGGGUGCUGCCUGGAGACCUCAAUCUACCAAGAUGUCCAGAACACCCUGCUACAUGUGACGUCGCCACCACCAGUGACGUCCCUGCAUCCAGCUCGCCGUUCUCCCUGUGUCAUCUUCUACAUCUUAUGAUUUGGACAGUGUGACUUGGCACUUAAACUAUCUCUCUGAUUUGACUCUCCCUGCCGUCCCCUGGAGGAUGGGUUACGUGUGUGCGGACUUUGCAUGUUCUCCCCAUGUCAUCGUGGGGUUUCCUCCGGGUACUCCGGUUUCCCCCCCACAGUCCAAAAACAUGCUGAGGCUAAUUGGACUUGCUAAAUUGCCCAUAGGUGUGCAUGUGAGAGUCAAUGGUGUGUGAGUGAGCCCUGCGAUGGGCUGGCCCCCCAUCCUGGGUUGUUCCCUGCCUCAUGCCCAUUGCUUCCGGGAUAGGCUCCGGACCCCCCGCGACCCAGUAGGAUAAGCGGUUUGGAAAAUGGAUGGAUGGAUAUACAGACAAAUUAAGUAGGUUUUUACAUAUAUAAUGACAGCAUAAAGUUUUUAAAAGAUAGCAAAAUUCUUCUUGUGUACAUCCAUCCAUUUUCCAAACCGCUUAUCCGACUGGGUCGCGGGGGGUCUUAAAUGCCGCCCCCGGGAACCUGCCACCCUGGGUGGCGGUCCAUGUCACCCAUACCUAAAUCUGCUAGCGCUGACACAACCCCCCCUCCUCCCCCUCCACGCGGGUUUCCCAGAGUGACAGCCGAGGAAGGUCAGCUCUCUGCCCGCUGCCUAUUGAACGCUAGCUUGGUGGCUUGACUGCAGAUUAUAGAGAUCAAUUUUAAAUCAUUUGUAUUAAAU